AACACUGGGCUGCCCGCAGCGGAGCGCGCGAACCCAACCACUCGGCCAUGGGGCCAGCCCCCAGAGCUCACUUUUGAUGGCCACGUCGUGUUUGCCUUGAGCAGAGAGUUUCCACCAGUCUCCUUGGAUGGCAAGUUCCAUGAGGAAACAGGCAAAAAGGGCCCUUACCCCAGGCCCAGCCUUUAGAUGGCCACACUCUGGCUCUACUCUGACCACACUCCACCCUACACAGUGAGAAGUCCCUGGGACUGAGAAUGGGUCCACUGGGAGCCCAAGACCCCUCCUGGACUACAACUCAGGUCCCCCAGGCCUCUGCUGGAGGUGGACAAAGGACAGCAGCCCCACCCAGCCGGGCGGGGCUGAGAGACAGGAAUGCUGCUUGGCACAGCUGGCCGAACAGGGGAGACUGUUUAUCCUCUGACGUCGGGAACAUCUCAGACCAUCAGGGGGAUUUGGCUGCAGGCAGCCCCUGGAUGCAAGGUCUCGAAGAAGGCAUUUUCUUUUUUUUUUUUUUUUUGAGGAAGAUUAGCCCUGAGCUAACUA